CCUCGCUCUUCAACGACCUCAAGCCGCUCUACAGCAACCCGGAGAAGGUGGCGGCGAUCGAGGCGGUGAUGGAGGCGAACCGCGCCAGCCUGGAGAAGGAGCAGCGGCUCGCCGCCGCGCCGGGCGAGCAGCCGGAGGACCCCGA
rnacentral:SRP_RNA from 1 species